AUAAUAAAUGUAAAUCUAAAAUAAUUUAUAUUUUAAUUUCCCAAUUUAUAUUUGAUUUACAGCUGAUUACUCAUUUUCUUUUGACUCACAUAAACCUAAAUUUCCCUAACUUCCAAAGCAAAUACAAAGAGGAGAAGGGUAGCAAAAGAACAAAAACUUAUGGAAAUGUCAAGUUUUCAUACAUGGUUCACGAGAUUUGGAUAGAUUAGAGAUAGGCUUGCAAAAGCUAUUUCUAGUUAUUCACCACCCGUCGGCGAAUACAAGUUCGAUUUAGUGCAUAUAUAUCACACGUAUAGUGGAGAUGAUAAAUCACACAAAAGCUUCUCCUUUCACUUACGCAAGUCUGAGGAAGAAGAAGGCAGAAUCUGCAACAAGAAGGGAG
rnacentral:lncRNA from 1 species